ACAACCAAUCCGUUAAAAUGAAUCAAAAAUAAUCCCGCCUGGCAAAGAACAAGAAAAGGAGAGGAAGACAGUACUAAAUCACGUUAUCUACCGGCACUACUAACUUCUGCCUCUGACCAAGGCCUCCGCCUGCAACUGCUCCUAGUGACCGGAAUUGUCGGAACUGAUCUCACCGAAUCUUGGGAAGCUGAUUUUGAAAGAGGCCACCUAGAAACUGAGCCGCCGGUCUCGCGCGCCCGCCCCAGCGCAGACUGCUCCUCAGGCGGGCCCGCUACCCACCGGUCCUCCACCCGGUCGCCACCACCACCUGGCACUAGCCCUGUGCCCGCCCGUCCCUCCGGGCCCCGACCUGGUCCGCCCUCCUGGGCUCUCCAGCGCAGAGCCUGCAUCCUCCCGCGCCUGGCCGGAUAGGGAUGGCGCUCCGGGCUGCGGGCCACUAGGCGGCCGCCGCCGCCGCCUCCACGCGCGAGCAGACAAGACUGGGCGCAGGGAAGCCCGGACGCUGGGACGCUGGCCGGUUAUCUGGUCCCGGGUGGGAGGAGGGACCGCCACCGGGGUCCCGCGGACGCCCUGUCACGCCCCCUACGCCGCACACCCGGGCCCCUCCCGCUGGCGGGUCGCAAUGCUCGCUUUCGCCGCGGCCACCCCCUCUUCGCCGGGGCGGACACUGAGCCACCUGGCACAGCCUCCACCGCCACACCACCCACGCAGUACCCCGCGAGCUCCGGCCCUAGACCGCCCUCCAGGGCCGUCCCUGGAGACAAUGGCUCACUCCGUCGCCCUACUGCUCGACCACAGGGUACUCCGCUCUCCCUGGGCAGCGGAUGUCAUAGCUGCCCGUUUCACAGAAGUGUAGACCGAGGCCGAGGAGCUCAAAAGCGAGGGACCAUGCGGAGAAACCCGGCUGCUAAUAGGGUCGAGGAGGGUCCAGGUCGUCCGCGGGCCCGGUGACUCCAGCCCUGGGCUGGUGUGUCCCUCGCUGGCGCAGCGCGGGCAAUGGCACGUAGGUGGAGCUCCAGGAGUUGUUGGAUGAGCCAAGAGGUCGUGAAAAACAGAUUAUCUGCCCCAGUCCCGGAGGCCACAGUGUCCUCAGACUGAGACUCCUAAUCUAGGACUCCCCAUCUCCGGAGCGUCCUCCGGCUUGACCUCAGACUCCCAGAUCCACUGCGCUCCGUCUCCCAAAACGAGCAGGGAAGACGAUGGGAGACCAGAGGAAAUGCACCUUUUGGGAAGAGCCAGGCAUCGUUUGCUGAAUAUUCGAGUUAAAAAACGCCGGUUUUGUGGCUACAAGCAGAGUUAAGUGGUUGGUGUCAAAAGUUAAGCAAUCAAAUGCUGGGGAAACCAACACGGAAACUACAACUUUCAACUAUAUACUACACAUAUAUACUGGAAAUGAACAAUUAAAUAAAUGAAUAGUGGAUGAUGGCCACCAGGUCUCUUACCUGUUACUGACCAGUAGAAGGAGGCUAGAGUGGUCCAUGUGCUCUUGGAUCAGAGCUGAAGUCAUCAGUGUGAACUCUUAUUUGGCUUAGUAGAGCUACAGAUAUAUAGAUAUAGAUAGAUAGAUAUAGAUAGAUAGAUAUAGAUAUAUAUUAUAGAUAUUAUAGAUAGAUAUAAAUAUGUGUUUACACAGGGUAGUAACACAAUGCAUGUAUCUCCUUGCUCUAUCAGCUAAGUGGGCCUGCAGAGGACAACCAACACAGUUAGCACCCAGAUCUUCUUUUUAGUACCAUUCUUCAACAAAAGGAACCAGUCCUCCUUGGGGGAAAUAGCUGAUUCUAAUCCUGGGACAGGAAAUAUUUAACAAGAACCUGGAGCAUCCUGCCGUGUCAGAAGAGUGAAGAAUCCAUCAGAUGCCCGUGGACUUAGGACCACUGCAGUCAGUAAUGGGACCUUAUGGCAGAGACAGCUGGAAGAGCAAAGCCACGCACCUGGAGGCAAAAUGAAGAAGCCAGUGCUAAGGUGAAGGUGAGACUGUAUUGAACUACAGAGGAGCAGAAGGUCACAUGGCUGGAUUUCCUAAUGUGUAAGUCUAGAAACCACCACAGACAGACCAUUUUCAGAUGAUAUUACCCUGGAAUCCUUUAAUGAAAAUUUCAUGUUAUGCAUACUGCCUUUAUUGGGAUUCAUCUGCAUUUGAAGAUACUGGCCUUAUGUUAUUUAUUUUAAUAAAUAAAACCCGUGUGUUCACUGUUUUA